GGUUAAGCGACUAAGCGUACACGGUGGAUGCCCUGGCAGUCAGAGGCGAUGAAGGACGUGCUAAUCUGCGAAAAGCGUCGGUAAGGUGAUAUGAACCGUUACAGCCGGCGAUGUCCGAAUGGGGAAACCCAGUGCAAUUCGUUGCACUAUCGUUUGAUGAAUACAUAGUCAAACGAGGCGAACCGGGGGAACUGAAACAUCUAAGUACCCCGAGGAAAAGAAAUCAACCGAGAUUCCCCCAGUAGCGGCGAGCGAACGGGGAGCAGCCCGGAGUCUGAAUCAGCUUGUGUGUUAGUGGAAGCGUCUGGAAAGUCGCAGGGUACAGGGUGAUACUCCCGUACACUAAAACACACAGGUUGUGAACUCGAAGAGUAGGGCGGGACACGUGGUAUCCUGUCUGAAUAUGGGGGGACCAUCCUCCAAGGCUAAAUACUCCUGACUGACCGAUAGUGAACCAGUACCGUGAGGGAAAGGCGAAAAGAACCCCGGCGAGGGGAGUGAAAAAGAACCUGAAACCGUGUACGUACAAGCAGUAGGAGCCCACUAGUUGGGUGACUGCGUACCUUUUGUAUAAUGGGUCAGCGACUUAUAUUCUGUAGCAAGGUUAACCGUAUAGGGGAGCCGCAGGGAAACCGAGUCUUAACUGGGCGUUAAGUUGCAGGGUAUAGACCCGAAACCCGGUGAUCUAGCCAUGGGCAGGUUGAAGGUUGGGUAACACUAACUGGAGGACCGAACCGACUAAUGUUGAAAAAUUAGCGGAUGACUUGUGGCUGGGGGUGAAAGGCCAAUCAAACCGGGAGAUAGCUGGUUCUCCCCGAAAGCUAUUUAGGUAGCGCCUCGUGAACUCAUCUUCGGGGGUAGAGCACUGUUUCGGCUAGGGGGUCAUCCCGACUUACCAACCCGAUGCAAACUACGAAUACCGAAGAAUGUUAUCACGGGAGACACACGGCGGGUGCUAACGUCCGUCGUGAAGAGGGAAACAACCCAGACCGCCAGCUAAGGUCCCAAAGUCAUGGUUAAGUGGGAAACGAUGUGGGAAGGCCCAGACAGCCAGGAUGUUGGCUUAGAAGCAGCCAUCAUUUAAAGAAAGCGUAAUAGCUCACUGGUCGAGUCGGCCUGCGCGGAAGAUGUAACGGGGCUAAACCAUGCACCGAAGCUGCGGCAGCGACACUAUGUGUUGUUGGGUAGGGGAGCGUUCUGUAAGCCGUUGAAGGUGGCCUGUGAGGGUUGCUGGAGGUAUCAGAAGUGCGAAUGCUGACAUAAGUAACGAUAAUGCGGGUGAAAAACCCGCACGCCGGAAGACCAAGGGUUCCUGUCCAACGUUAAUCGGGGCAGGGUGAGUCGACCCCUAAGGCGAGGCCGAAAGGCGUAGUCGAUGGGAAACAGGUUAAUAUUCCUGUACUCGGUGUUACUGCGAAGGGGGGACGGAGAAGGCUAUGUUGGCCGGGCGACGGUUGUCCCGGUUUAAGCAUGUAGGCGGAUGUUCCAGGUAAAUCCGGAACGUCACUAACGCUGAGGUGUGAUGACGAGGCACUACGGUGCUGAAGUGACAAAUGCCCUGCUUCCAGGAAAAGCCUCUAAGCAUCAGGUAACAUCAAAUCGUACCCCAAACCGACACAGGUGGUCAGGUAGAGAAUACCAAGGCGCUUGAGAGAACUCGGGUGAAGGAACUAGGCAAAAUGGUGCCGUAACUUCGGGAGAAGGCACGCUGAUGGUAGGUGAAGUGACUUGCUCAUGGAGCUGAAAUCAGUCGAAGAUACCAGCUGGCUGCAACUGUUUAUUAAAAACACAGCACUGUGCAAACACGAAAGUGGACGUAUACGGUGUGACGCCUGCCCGGUGCCGGAAGGUUAAUUGAUGGGGUUAUCCGUAAGGAGAAGCUCUUGAUCGAAGCCCCGGUAAACGGCGGCCGUAACUAUAACGGUCCUAAGGUAGCGAAAUUCCUUGUCGGGUAAGUUCCGACCUGCACGAAUGGCGUAAUGAUGGCCAGGCUGUCUCCACCCGAGACUCAGUGAAAUUGAACUCGCUGUGAAGAUGCAGUGUACCCGCGGCAAGACGGAAAGACCCCGUGAACCUUUACUAUAGCUUGACACUGAACACUGGUCCUUGAUGUGUAGGAUAGGUGGGAGGCUUUGAAGUGUGGACGCCAGUCUGCAUGGAGCCAUCCUUGAAAUACCACCCUUUAAUGGCUGGUGUUCUAACGUGGGCCCCUAAUCGGGGUUGCGGACAGUGUCUGGUGGGUAGUUUGACUGGGGCGGUCUCCUCCUAAAGAGUAACGGAGGAGCACGAAGGUCAGCUAAUCCUGGUCGGACAUCAGGAGGUUAGUGCAAUGGCAUAAGCUGGCUUGACUGCGAGCGUGACGGCGCGAGCAGGUGCGAAAGCAGGUCAUAGUGAUCCGGUGGUUCUGAAUGGAAGGGCCAUCGCUCAACGGAUAAAAGGUACUCCGGGGAUAACAGGCUGAUACCGCCCAAGAGUUCAUAUCGACGGCGGUGUUUGGCACCUCGAUGUCGGCUCAUCACAUCCUGGGGCUGAAGUAGGUCCCAAGGGUAUGGCUGUUCGCCAUUUAAAGUGGUACGCGAGCUGGGUUUAGAACGUCGUGAGACAGUUCGGUCCCUAUCUGCCGUGGGCGCUGGAGAAUUGAGGGGGGCUGCUCCUAGUACGAGAGGACCGGAGUGGACGCAUCACUGGUGUUCGGGUUGUCAUGCCAAUGGCAUUGCCCGGUAGCUAAAUGCGGAAGAGAUAAGUGCUGAAAGCAUCUAAGCACGAAACUUGCCCCGAGAUGAGUUCUCCCUGACUCCUUGAGAGUCCUGAAGGAACGUUGAAGACGACGACGUUGAUAGGCCGGGUGUGUAAGCGCAGCGAUGCGUUGAGCUAACCGGUACUAAUGAACCGUGAGGCUUAACCUU
rnacentral:rRNA from 1 species